CAGCGAAAGGACUCAAACCAAAAGACAACACGGAGGUGUUAAAAUUUUCUGGAGCAGGACAAUGACUUGAAGAACAUACUAUGCGGUAAAAAUGCACCAGGUCAUUGUGUAAGAGUUAGAUGGGAAUGCGGCAAAACCAGUUAGGAAGCCACUGCGGUGACCCUGCGCUGAGAUGUCAAGUCCAAGUCCAAGAUGGUUGCAGGGGCAUGGAGAGGAAGAACUACAUCUAAAAGGUAUUUCAAAAGAAAUAAACACAGAUUUAACGAGUUCCUACUAUCUGCUAGGCUGUGCUAACACCACCGAGGCGGGCGUGGAAUCACCCCCAUUUCGCCCACUUGCAGAGUGAGAUUUGGCCAGAUUGACUCUCUGGGGGUCACACGCGGCGAGCGGCAGCGUUGAGCUUCCAACGUGGGGCGUCGGGCUCUCCAGACCCGGGGCUGCCCCAGGCCUCCACUGUCGCCUCUGAGACCAGCCCCCGCUGUGCCCUGCGGGGUGAGGAAGAGCUUCCAGUGCCAAGACCUCAACUCCUCAAUUUGCAGAGAAGGGCCUUGCAGGGCCUAAGCGCGGAGAUCAGGGACCCUUAUCAAGCCGUCAGUCCCUUUCAGGAUCUUGGAGACCCGCACGUCGGGCGGAAGCAGGCGCGUCGCGGCGGCUGCAGCUCCCGGCCCCGGGCGCGAGCGGCUGAGUCACGGCGGGGCCGGGCCGCGGGCGGCUCCAGCGUGGUGAGCCCGGAGGCUGCGCCGGGCCCUGCAGCGCAGCCGGGAGCCGCGCCGACCGAGACCGGAUGAGCCGAGUCAGCGCGGCCCCGCCGCCCCGCGGAGACGAGAUCGGCCGCGGGUUCUCGCUGAUCCCGCCGGGGAGCUGGAAUCGGAGACUGAAAUUUGAAAGCUUGAGUGGCCCCAAGCAACAGAUGCUAUAUGCAGGUUUCAGUGGAGGCUGCUCACCUUGUGCGGAGACACGUCCUUCUAGCUGUGGCGUGUGGGAUGCCAGCCCAGCAUGGCCCAACGAUGGUGCCAUGUCCACGCCCAGGACCCGAACCUGCGAAACCCUGGGCCACCACAGCGGAGUGCAGGAACCCAACCACAAGGCCACAGGGCUGGCCAGGACCUGUUUCUGAUUGUCAGUGUUUUUGUCCUCCAUCAGGAAGCAUUGACACUGGGCAAAAUGGUGGAACCUUAUGAGGAAAAGUGGCUGCCAAUCAUUGCAUUACAGGAAAGUUUAUUUUCUUUUUAAGAGCUGACAUCAUUUUCCCAAGUAUUCUUUUGAUAUUUUAUCCCACUUGCAUAAUCAUCGCCUUUCUUUAAUUCUAUAAGGUAUACAUUUAAAAAGACCAGACCUUUCCAGGAGUCUGACAGAAAUGGGAUUCAGAAUUGUGUCUGAGACAUUUUCAGAUUUUCAUCAAGAGUUUGUGUUCAAGUGCCACUGUUUACUGUCUUCUGUGUGACUUGGAACAAGUUAUUUAACCUAUCUUGGUCUCAGUUUUCUCAUCUGAAAAAUGAGGAUAAGAAUAGCACAUGCUUAUAAAUUGUUGUGAGAAUUGAAUGAGAUUGUAGGGGAGGAAGACAAUUCCUCUACCCAUUCUAGGUCCUCCUGGCUGGUCUAUGAAUUAAAUUGACACGAGACAGAAUAACAGGAGAAAAUCAAACAAAGCUUUAUAACAUGUAUACAUGGGAGAAACGCCAGAAUGACUGAGUUUCCAUCUUAAAUACAAUCUUCAGCUAAAGACAAAGGACGGUGUUGGGGGUAGUGGUUUGGGGCUUCAAAGGGGAGGAAGGCAAUUCACAUGGAGAUGGAAAAGCAAAUGUUUGGUAGAUGAGAAUGGGCUUAAUAAAGACCCUCACAGUCUACCAAUAUCCAGAGUUACCUAUGGUGAUAACCUGUCCUGGGGACAGGCCUUUUGUCUUAAAUUCUUUAGGCAGUUAGGGGGAAGAUCAAAGUUUCUUUUGUUCUUAGAAAAUAAUCAAGGCAAAGACACAUUUUGGGGUGGCCAAUUCUGAUGUCCUACAAGAGCAUAUUUGUAAAAUGAGUGCUUAGAAUGAUGCCUAUGGAUAAUUCUCUAUAAAUAUUUACCUAUAAAUAAAUAUUAUUGUCUUUUUGUUAUUAAAGAGAACAGUGGCUCUGUACUGAAUAAUGAUAGGCACACCUGCCAUUGUCACCAAGGCUGAAGUGGUAGAUGUGUUUCCUUGCAAACUCUCCCCAUCAUUUGAAAAUCAACUCAAUGUGACCCUGAUUAAGCAGACAAAACAUUCACCACGAUGAGUCCACGUUAUCCAUAUCUCAGGCCACUUAUCUCUCCACAUGGAGUGAAGGAACAAAUGUACUGUUCUCAGCUCUACCUACUGGGAGAAUUUCCCUUCACCGUGGUGCAGCAUAGUUCAUUUGUUAUUAGUACCAACAUAUUAGCUGAUCCUUCUGUGAACCAGGCCGAAGUUUCCUGCCC
rnacentral:lncRNA from 1 species